rnacentral:rRNA from 1 species
GAUCCUGGCUCAGGAUGAACGCUAGCGGCAGGCUUAACACAUGCAAGUCGAGGGGGUAUUGGUUUUCGGACCAAGAGACCCGGCGCACGGGUGCGUAACGCGUAUGCAAUCUACCUUUUGCAGAGGGAUAGCCCAGAGAAUUUGGAUUAAUACCUCAUAGUAUAGUACUUUGGCAUCAAGGAACUAUUAAAGUCACAACGGCAAAAGAUGAGCAUGCGUCCCAUUAGCUAGUUGGUAAGGUAACGGCUUACCAAGGCUACGAUGGGUAGGGGUCCUGAGAGGGAGAUCCCCCCACACUGGUACUGAGACACGGACCAGACUCCUACGGGAGGCAGCAGUGAGGAAUAUUGGACAAUGGGCGCAAGCCUGAUCCAGCCAUGCCGCGUGCAGGAUGACGGUCCUAUGGAUUGUAAACUGCUUUUAUACAGGAAGAAACACUCCGACGUGUCGGAGCUUGACGGUACUGUAAGAAUAAGGAUCGGCUAACUCCGUG